rnacentral:rRNA from 1 species
AUUGAACGCUGGCGGAAUGCUUUACACAUGCAAGUCGAGCGGCAGCGCGGGGCAACCUGGCGGCGAGCGGCGAACGGGUGAGUAACACAUCGGAACGUGCCCUAUCGUGGGGGAUAACGAAUCGAAAGAUUCGCUAAUACCGCAUACGACCUGAGGGUGAAAGCGGGGGAUCGCAAGACCUCGCGCGAUUGGAGCGGCCGAUGUCGGAUUAGCUAGUUGGUGAGGUAAAGGCUCACCAAGGCGACGAUCCGUAGCUGGUCUGAGAGGACGACCAGCCACACUGGGACUGAGACACGGCCCAGACUCCUACGGGAGGCAGCAGUGGGGAAUUUUGGACAAUGGGGGCAACCCUGAUCCAGCCAUUCCGCGUGAGUGAAGAAGGCCUUCGGGUUGUAAAGCUCUUUCGGCAGGAACGAAACGGUGGAGGCUAAUACCUUUCAUCAAUGACGGUACCUGAAGAAGAAGCACCGGCUAACUACGUGCCAGCAGCCGCGGUAAUACGUAGGGUGCGAGCGUUAAUCGGAAUUACUGGGCGUAAAGCGUGCGCAGGCGGCUUUGUAAGACAGGUGUGAAAUCCCCGGGCUUAAUCUGGGAACUGCGCUUGUGACUGCAAGGCUUGAGUGUGGCAGAGGGGGGUGGAAUUCCACGUGUAGCAGUGAAAUGCGUAGAGAUGUGGAGGAACACCGAUGGCGAAGGCAGCCCCCUGGGUCAACACUGACGCUCAUGCACGAAAGCGUGGGUAGCAAACAGGAUUAGAUACCCUGGUAGUCCACGCCCUAAACGAUGCCAACUAGGUGUUGGGGAAGGAGACUUCCUUAGUACCGUAGCUAACGCGUGAAGUUGGCCGCCUGGGGAGUACGGUCGCAAGAUUAA